UACGUAGGGUGCGAGCGUUAAUCGGAAUUACUGGGCGUAAAGUGUGCGCAGGCGGCCGCGCAAGUCGAGUGUGAAAGCCCCGGGCUUAACUUGGGAAUUGCGCUCGAAACUACGUGGCUGGAGUGUGGCAGAGGAAGGUGGAAUUCCAGGUGUAGCGGUGAAAUGCGUAGAGAUCUGGAGGAACACCGAUGGCGAAGGCAGCCUUCUGGCCACACUGACGCGUCAUGCACGAAAGCGUGGGGAGCAAACAGG
rnacentral:rRNA from 1 species